GUUGCAUUGUUGAUGUGUCAGUUGGUACCCAGCUCCACAGCUCUGCCUUUUGAUUUGUUGUGGUUUUUCAGUUCAAAAAGCAGUUUCCUUGAUGAGAGAUGUACAUUCUAAAUGUAUUAGAAGACAGUUAGGGGUUAUGCUAAUUUAGGAAAGCAGAGAUGGUGGUAAGUUUUAAGAGGAGAAAAUGUGAAUGAGUGCUUGAAUCUUCUGUUCUUUUCUAACUUACAGAACCUCAGGAGCCAAUGUUUCAAAGAAGCCAGUAACCCAAAUGUCAUCUCUUCUGAGGUGACACCCACACAUAUCCUUCAGCGUUGGCAGAGAUGUUCACUCAGAUAAUGACUGGAGUUCAUGCUGCCUGUUCUCAUCUUCAUGUGUCAUCGUCACCAUGUAAAACCACAACUAUAGGAAAACAGAGCUGUUUGCUGCUCUUCUGUCUCAACUGACAUUUCCACCCAGUUCACAGCUCGCCCUUUGGAGACAAAGGAGACUAUCUGUCAUUGAGAUGCCUUUACAUAAUGAAGUAUGAGUGGAAUCCAGGCUAUCCUUUACAACUUGUUAUCCCCUUGAGUUUGUAGCCCUUCCAAUCCUUUCACAGAGUUUAAGUGGGCAAAUGACAUAGGGCAUGGCCUUUGGGAAGCACACAUUCUGAUCCUUGAUUUUGCCCCAAGAGUGAGGUCAGCUCAGAAAGUCUGACAUAUGCUUGGACACACAGACUUUCAAUGCAAGUAGUUUCAAGCAUUGGGUCCAAUGUCAACCCUGAAAUGCACAAAAGGCACUUAAGCUAGUGUUUCACAUUCUGCUCUGGACAGUAGUCUACAGUUUUAAGAACCAUAAACCUAUGAUUC
ensembl:lincRNA predicted gene 11579